rfam:Glossina pallidipes unplaced genomic scaffold Scaffold309, whole genome shotgun sequence.
GGGGGGUAGUUUUAGUACGUAAGCGCCAUGGAUGGCGAAUCGUGCAUGCUGCUACUAAGGCCAGCAGUACCUUUUGAAGAUUUUGUACCUUC